rnacentral:rRNA from 1 species
UACGAAGGGGGCUAGCGUUGUUCGGAAUUACUGGGCGUAAAGCGCGCGCAGGCGGCUAUCCAAGUCAGUGGUGAAAGCCCGGAGCUCAACUCCGGAACUGCCAUUGAAACUGUUUAGCUUGAGGACGAGAGAGGUGAGUGGAAUUCCCAGUGUAGAGGUGAAAUUCGUAGAUAUUGGGAAGAACACCGGUGGCGAAGGCGACUCGCUGGACAAGUAUUGACGCUGAGGUGCGAAAGCGUGGGGAGCAAACAGG